UACGAAGGGGGCUAGCGUUGCUCGGAUUUACUGGGCGUAAAGGGCGCGUAGGCGGGCUGCCAAGUCUGGGGUGAAAUCCCACGGCUCAACCGUGGAACUGCCUCGGAUACUGGCGGCCUCGAGGGAGGUAGGGGCGUGCGGAACUGUGGGUGGAGCGGUGAAAUGCGUUGAUAUCCACAGGAACUCCGGUGGCGAAGGCGGCACGCUGGACCUUUUCUGACGCUGGGGCGCGAAAGCCAGGGGAGCAAACGGG
rnacentral:rRNA from 1 species